AUUUUUAAAUAUAACUACGUGCAAGAAAAUGAAAAGAUAUACAAGGACUAAACAAUAUCUUUAGAUAAUCCCGACAAACUGAAGUGGUUGUUCGGUAAGAGCGCAGUUGUAUAACUUUGUUGUUAUCUUGGUUACAAAUUAUGCGUUCCACUUCAGCUUCCCCUGAACAUGUCAAAGAUAAUUUGAUUUCUGUAUAUGAUUAUUAUUCAUGUAAAAGUUGCGCGUGCCCGACAUCCACUAUCCUAUACGAAGAGAUGGUUAUCUUUAUUGUCAAGUUAUACCUUGAGUCUUUCUCCCAUAUAUAGGUGUGUUAACUGCUCCGAGUGUCACAUACUUGCCAGCAGGGAGUUGCUCGAAACAUAGGGAAAAUGGCGAAGAGGAACACUGUUGGCCUACUACUUGUCCUUGCAAUUAUGUUCUCCUACAAUGUCUUAGAGGGCAGUGCACACCAGCGCCAAGUUGUAUUCUCUCGCAAAGUGAUGAAUGCAGAGCACAAAGCAUCCUUUAGCGGGAUGAGUUCAUCCCUUGGCGGGCAUGUUUCUGGUGCGACCAAUGCAGUAGGCGUGAACAAUAAUGCUGAAAUAGCAAAUGUUGAAACUACCACUACCAUAGAGUCCCACCGUGAUGUCUCCGUGGGAGAUUUUCGUGGUAUUAACCACAAACCACCAACUUAUAACAGGCCAUAAUGAUGAACCUAAGACAAAGGACCAUGGACACCAACUCGAUAUCCGUGGAUGAAUUAAUUAUCAAGUUGGUGAUUUCUACAUUAAAGAUGUAGUUCUUCAUUAUAUGCGUGUGUAGUGUAACUGCUUGUAAGACCUGGAUGGUGUGUUGGAGUGUCAAGCUAUUUACUGAUGUACUACUACUAAUAUUGUAAGGUAGUAUUGUACAAUACUGCAGAAUAAAAUGCAUGUGGUCCAUGGUAUUUA